CUAAACGUUGAUGGUUUUCCAAUGAAUCUUAUGAAGGUAUUUAUUUAUUUUGGUUUUUAAUCGUCAACUCACCGUUGUGCAAGUUCGACCUUCAAUCUCAGUCUCUGGUAUUAUAUUUGUUUCACAUUCGACCUUCGGUAGCCCAACUGAUUCAUGUUUCAGUCUUUGGUGCUUCUAUUCUUAGUUUUCAACAUUCUACUACUUCGCUUCCUAGUUUUCUUCUAGCACUCUGUGCUUCUUAAUUUCUUCUAUAGAUCAACCGAAUGAGCAUGAUAUGAAUAUAGAUUGGACCGAUUCAGAUCGGUCAGAAGGGGCCAUUAGAUCUCGAGGUGAAGAUAAGGAAACUUUGACUUCAUUAAAGAGGGAAGGGUUUGGCGUCGAGGCUACUUCCAUGCCUUCUGGUUCUUUUGUAUGGGAUCCUUUUGACCCUUAGCAAGUUCGAAAUUAAGGAAAUUAGGCUUCACUGCUAGAUUCCUAAGGACUACUAGCUUAGUCACGUGAGAAAAAUCAAAUAGCUGAUGACCUUGUUAUUAGUAAGGGUUGCAUUACAAUUUUUGUUGACCAACUAAAGGCAGGUUUGCAGUUUCCUACAGAUCCGUUCUAUGUGCUAUUUUGAAACUGUUUUGAAUUUGUAUUGGUUGCUUUUGGCUCCUUAUGUUGUGUUAACCAUAUUGAGCCUUUUGCUUGCAUUUUCGCCUCCAUGUACUCUUUAACUCAUCGAGAUAACAAGGCGUUCUACUAUUUUACAUCAAAGAAAGGGUUUAGUCUAUUUAAUGGUUUUCCUUCCUCCCUAAAGGGGUGAAAAUCAUGUUUCUUCCUGUUGAAGCAUCCUUCUGAUAAUGGAUGGGGUGGAUUUCCUUUAAAU
rnacentral:lncRNA from 1 species